UACGGGAGGCAGCAGUGGGGAAUAUUGCACAAUGGGCGAAAGCCUGAUGCAGCUAUGCCGCGUGUAUGAAGAAGGCCUUAGGGUUGUAAAGUACUUUCAUCGGGGAGGAAAAACAAAACUAAUAAUUUUAUUUCUUGACGUUACCCGAAAAAGAAGCACCGGCUAACUCCGUGCCAGCAGCCGCGGUAAUACGGAGGGUGCUAGCGUUAAUCAGAAUUACUGGGCGUAAAGAGCACGUAGGUGGUUUUUUUAAAGUCAGAUGUGAAAUCCCUGGGCUUAACCUGGAAACUGCAUUUUGAAACUGAAAUACUAGAGUAUCGUAGAGGGAGGUAGAAUUCUAGGUGUAGCGGUGAAAUGCGUAGAUAUCUGGAGGAAUACCUGUGGCGAAAGCGGCCUCCUAAACGAAUACUGACACUGAGGUGCGAAAAGCGUGGGGAGCAAACAGGGAUUAGAUACC
rnacentral:rRNA from 1 species